rnacentral:rRNA from 1 species
AGAUUGAACGCUGGCGGCAGGCCUAACACAUGCAAGUCGAGCGGCAGCACGGGUACUUGUACCUGGUGGCGAGCGGCGGACGGGUGAGUAAUGCCUAGGAAUCUGCCUGAUAGUGGGGGGAUAACGUUCGGAAACGGACGCUAAUACCGCAUACGUCCUACGGGAGAAAGUGGGGGAUCUUCGGACCUCACGCUAUCAGAUGAGCCUAGGUCGGAUUAGCUAGUUGGUAGGGUAAAGGCCUACCAAGGCUACGAUCCGUAACUGGUCUGAGAGGAUGAUCAGUCACACUGGAACUGAGACACGGUCCAGACUCCUACGGGAGGCAGCAGUGGGAAUAUUGGACAAUGGGCGAAAGCCUGAUCCAGCCAUGCCGCGUGUGUGAAGAAGGUCUUCGGAUUGUAAAGCACUUUAAGUUGGAGAAGGCAUUAACCUAAUACGUUAGUUGUUUUAGACGUUACCGACAGAAUUAAGCUACCGGCUAACUCUGUGCCAGCAGCCGACG